UGGGGAAUCUUGCACAAUGGAGGCAACUCUGAUGCAGCGACGCCGCGUGAGCGAUGAAGCCCUUCGGGGUGUAAAGCUCUUUCGGCAGGGACGAUAAUGACGGUACCUGAAGAAGAAGCUGCGGCUAACUACGUGCCAGCAGCCGCGGUAAUACGUAGGCAGCGAGCGUUGUUCGGAAUUACUGGGCGUAAAGAGUGUGUAGGCGGUGCUCUAAGUUCGGUGUGAAAUCUCCUGGCUUAACUGGGAGGGUGCGCCGGAAACUGGAGUGCUCGAGCGUGGGAGAGGAAAGCGGAAUUCCUGGUGUAGCGGUGAAAUGCGUAGAUAUCAGGAGGAACACCUGUGGUGUAGACGGCUUUCUGGACCAUUGCUGACGCUGAGACACGAAAGCGUGGGUAGCAAAC
rnacentral:rRNA from 1 species